AAUCAAUAGAAUAUAAUGAUUAUGAUGAAUAAAGAAAAUGAGAAAGAAAAGAAGAGAAAGAGAGAGAGAGAGAGAGAAAAGAGAAAGAGAAAGAGAAGAUGAGGAAGAGAAAAUUGGAAGAAAAUAAAAGUGAAAAUAUUUUCUAUUCUCAGGUUGAUUCACAUUUGCCGCUCUUUUCGAAGUAAACAAAAUGAGAAGGAAAAAGAAGAAGAAGAAGAGAAAGACGAGAAAGAGAAAGAAACAAGAGGGAAGAGAGAGAAAAAUCUUUUAGGUGUAGCAUUUAUUUUCUCUUUCUUUUUCUCUCUCUUUUCUCUUUCUCUUUUUUUUCUAUCUCUUUUUCUCUCUGUUUCUCACUAUCUUCCUUUCCUACUCCAUCGUUACAAUCAACACCAACACCAACGUUACUUUCAUCAUUAUCAUAACCAUCAACACUAUUACAAGAGAAAACAAAUUACAAUCAUUAACCAUUAAAUUAUUAUUAUCCUUUCAAUUGCUCUUUAAUUGUCGAAAAUUAGAUUUAAAAUCUUUCUAAUGAAAACAAUUAGAUUUCUAUUGAUCAACUAAAUCGUAUAAAUCAGUUAAUUGAUACGAAUUAUCAACCAAUUGGAAUGAAUGGUAAGAAUAAAAAUGAAGAUUCGAAAGUUUCAGUUAGUAAGAACUCGGUGUCUCGAAAAGUCUUCGAACCAAUAACGAAACUGAUCGAUAAAAUUGGAAAAUCUUCCAACGUAAAGAAAGCUCGUUUUAUAUCAAAGAGGUCAAAAAUCGCCCCGUUAACUAUUCCCGAAGAGACUUCGCCAUUCUUGAAAUUAUAUUCUGAGCGUUAUUACAAUUUGAUUGUUAAAGAUCCAAAAAAUGUUAAAACCAAAUACAAUACAAUUUGUUUUCUGAUCCUUUCAAUGGCUGAAGAUAAAUUUGAUGAGCGGGUUUGUCGUUUUCUUGAUGCCUUUAUGCCGAUAACCGAUAUUAAAAGUCACAUGGAUUCGUUUGACGACGACUUUGGAAUGGCCAUACAACGACAUCGCGAUUUAAAUGUUAUCCUUAAUUACUGGCAAUUAGGUGCACUUCGUAGAUACGAAUAUGAUAAAUGGAACUUAAUUGCUGUUCGUAAGACUGAACUUUUCCUUUCUUUCCAACGAGAUCAAAGUAACGGAUUCACUUAUUAUAUCAAUCGAAUCCUCGAAAAACCAAUUAGAGGUACAAUGAGUCAGAUUUUUUUACCUUCGAAAUCCGGUAAAGCCAAUUUGAAGACUCAUAAUGAUUUCGUUGAUCCUGAAAUUAAAUGUACUUUGUCGUUGAAUAACAACACUCUUGAUUUACCUCUGAAUGAAGCGAUAGCCAUUGUCACCAGUGAGAAACGUAAAUUGGAGAAACAGAUUGAAAAUUUCUCUCUCUACUUGAGAUGUAUUCGUGAGUUAAUCAAGAUUAACGAAGCUAAUAUGGCGAAAAUUUAUUCGUACCAAUUUAGAUGGCGACCAACUCGUUUAUCUGAACGAGUUCAAAGUGGACGAAUCAUUACUAAUCCUCCGAUUUCCGAGCUUAGACAAGCAUUUCUUGAUUCAAAUCCACGAUAAAUGUCAAACCAUAAACUGGAAAACAAUCAAAUAAACCACAAAAGAAACAAGUAUAAAUUAAAAUUAUUAAAAUUAUUGCAUGAUAACAUCUUAACACAUAAUCGUUGAUGAAAAGAAAAACUUAAUCUAAAUUAAAACAAUAACAAGUUGGACCCUUGGAUUUGGUGGAUGAAAAAAUUGACGAAAAGUAACCCAAACUAAUCACGAAACUUGCUGAACAGAUUUGGAAUUGAAAACAUUGUAUCGUUAAGAAAAAUUGCAUUUCAAAUAAUAUAAAUAUCAAAGAAUCAAAAUUAAUAAUAAUAAUGAAAAGAAAAUGACUUUAAGGUGAACAUGAAACAAUCAUCAAGAAAAAGAUAAUCGUCAUUGAGAAGAAGAUUAAAUUGAUAUAAGGAAAUUAAUAAAAAUUCUAAAUCAAUUGUUGUCCAUCAACAAUCAAUAGAAUAUAAUGAUUAUGAUGAAUAAAGAAAAUGAGAAAGAAAAGAAGAGAAAGAGAGAGAGAAAGAGAAAAUUGGAAGAAAAUAAAAGUGAAAAUAUUUUCUAUUCUCAGGUUGAUUCACAUUUGCCGCUCUUUUCGAAGUAAACAAAAUGAGAAGGAAAAAGAAGAAGAAGAAGAGAAAGACGAGAAAGAGAAAGAAACAAGAGGGAAGAGAGAGAAAAAUCUUUUAGGUGUAGCAUUUAUUUUCUCUUUCUUUUUCUCUCUCUUGUCUCUUUCUCUUUUUAGUUUCUCUGUGUUUGUGAUUAUAAAGUGAAAAGAAAAAGAUUUGUUUUUAUUUUAUAUUUUUUAAUUAAAUUCUAAUUCUAUUUACUUAUCAAUUGAUUAACUUUAAUUUCUGUCUAAUUUAUUUCAAUCAAUUCUCUGGUUCCAUGUAACCAUAUUUUUUUUAUUCUCUUUCUCUCAUGUAAUCUUCAAUAUUCAGAUUAAUUUCUUAUUGUCUCUUGAUUAACCCUGCAAUUGGAAUUAUCUAUUCAAUAGAAUAUUUUUGGUGGAAAAUUCUACAAUUCAAAUUCUAUGUAAUUUAAAUGUUGUUCAAACCAAUUUACUUCCAUCAUAAUGAUUAUCAAAAUGGUUUCUGGUAAGAUUAUUUUGCCACAUCUCAUCAAAUAUUACAUCUAAUUGGCAACCUUGAGUGAUUUACUUUUUGGAUCAACCACCAGAAUACAACAAAGGAAACUAUUGUGUUUAAAUAAUUUAACUUAUUCUGUGUUUCUACUUCUCUUAUCAUGUUGUCAUUUCUAUUGAUCUGGUCAUUGAGGUUAACAUUUUCAUCGUAAAUUUUGUGCUUAUAUCACAAGUUUCCUCUCUCCUUUUGCGAAUCUCUUUAUACAACUAAAUUCAAU